CCGGACUGAUAAAUGAUGUGCGCGUGUGAGGACUGAUCAUAAUU
rnacentral:misc_RNA from 1 species